GACAGUUGUUCCAGGAGCCCAUCUGAUGGCAGCAUCCAUCCUACUCAGCCAAAAGGAGGAAAGUUCAGAGACAAGCAUUUGUGGGAGGUUUCUAUGGAGGGAUCCAAACUGCCAGAGAGGUGAGAAAUGCAGUUUAGCUGUGUUUGUUUCUAGGAUAAGGGGUAGACUGAAUUUUGGUGAACACCUACCAGGAUCUACCACCAGAGUCAAAAAUACAUAGAGAGGUCAAGAAGGCAUGAAAAUGAAUAAAAGUGAUUCAGGCAACUAUAAAGCAUGAGACCAAGGUCAGAGCUCCAAAGAACACCAAUGUUAGGAGAUACACUGAAGAGAUAAAAGGAAGAUCCAGCAUAGUAGAAGAAUGACAAAACAAAAAUAAAACGCGACUGUGUUAGAUACUUAAUCAAUGUAUGUAGAAAUGUGAGUACAAAUUUCAUCAUUAAGCACUGAGCACAUCUCUGACAAGCUGACAUUAUUUGGUGCCUCUGAUAUUUAGAUGAAAAAUAAGUCAAAUUGGAUUUAAGAGAAAACGGCAAAAUCAGCUUCUCGAAAAAGCCAGAUUUUCAUUACCAUGCAGAUGGACUGCUUUAGGGCUAUGUGUCAUAAUAUUCAUUUUUUCCAUUUACUUUUGUGUCCAUAAAUCAAGCUCUCUCUAUAGGAGAAAUGUGUAUUCUGCAUCAAACAUUUUAUGUGAUCUUAUACACAUAUGAACUUAAUAUAAAUAUGAAUAUACAUCUGUAGUUGUAUACACACACUCAACACUCAAAGGAUUCAUUAUCAAAUGCAUUUCUUUUUCACUUCCAUUUUUUGCAAUUUUCCAUGCUCUCUGCUUUGCCCAAGGCUUCUUCUCCACCACCCAAACCAUCCCACUUUGCAUGUCUGUUCUUGGCUCUCAGUGGAAAGACCAAGGAAAAGAAGCUAGACUUCACCCUGAUAACAUUUUAAGUCCUUCUCCAUUAUUAUAGAAUACAACAGAGUCUGUAGCCUGAAUGAAAAAUCCAGGCCAGAAUAUCCAUGCCCCGUUCCUUGGCUCUUCCUCCAAGAGAUCUCAGCUAGGAAAAGGGAGAUCUGAAAUCUUGCUGGCAUGUUACCAACUAGCAGAGUGGUAUCCAUCAAUCUAGCCUCUUCUCUCUCUCUUUAGAAUGUAAGGUAUUCAGGACAACCACGGGAGUUCUGAGAUUUUUGUAUUUAGAACACUCUUUUUGGCAAAAGAACAUCCAGCCUUGCUUAUAAAUAAGUUAAAAAAAAAAAAAAAGACAAGCAGAUUUAAAAAAGCUGCCCAGGAGGCACUCAUAGAAAAAACAAAAUUAGUAACCUCUUCUACUUGCCCAGCAUAAAUUAUUAGCAUACUCAGCUUGACCAAGUGACUAUUUAUAAGUCUGAACACCAUGGUGUUCAAUAAAUAUAAUUGAGGAUGGUGACAAUGCUACCCAUAUUUCCUUACUUAACGACACCCAGUUGGCAGUUCAGUAGCACAAAUCAUAUGCAUUUUACUCUUCCUUUACUCGUCUUCACAUUGUAACUCAUAUCAGGAAUGAAUUUAACCAUUGGAAAUAGCCUUCCAAUUAGCAAAAUUAAUUUUUCGUUUGAUUUGAAAGAGACCAGCCAGUGGAUAUAAGCAAGGAAAAACUCUGCAAGCAGCAUUUCUGGCUUCUGUGAGGAGAUUUUCUGUCAGCUCCAACAAGUCCUUCUUAUUGCUACUUUUAUAGGGUCAUCAUUAUUCAACGUCUGCUAGCUUCAAAUAUCAUCCGCAAAGCACAUCUAGAAAUUUAGCUGGUGAUGCAGAUAAUGUAUGAAACUGAGAAACCACUACUUGUUUCCCACUGGCUAAGUUAAAUAUAUAGUUUAGAAGAUUUUAGAACCUCUCAGCUAGUCUGAGGUGGGAGAAGGGCAAGAGUUCGCCAACACCAUGUGUACAUAGCCUGUGAAACUUCUUAGGCAUUUGUUCAAAAGAAUAUGUGAAUGCAAAAUUCACAAUUUGGACAUUUUAUCUAGCCUUCAAUUGGCAACUAGGCUGGAACUCCAUCAACUUUGUUUAGUCAGAUCCUUCUCUCAUCUCUGCCAUUCUUCUAAAGUCACAAACUCAACCCUGACAUCUCCUUCUCUUCACAAGACAAUCUUGUCUCCUCUAUGUCUAGAAAAUCAAAACCAUUUACCAAUACUGUGAAACUCAGGACCACCUGUCACUCUCCCAUCAGCAUCAUUCUUCUUAAGUAAGUACCAAAACAAGUCUUUCAUCUGCCUCUGUUCUCUCCCUCCACCACCCCUAUCUUAGUCCGGGUGCCUAUCACUCCUUACUUAGACUAGUACAGAAACCUCUCGUCAUCUUCUUGCCUACUGCCUAAUUUCUCUGGAAUCCAUCCUACUCGUCUUCCAUGAAAAGAAAAAAAAAAACUAUCUAAAACACCAAUCAGAUAGUAUCAUGCCUUUGUAUAAACCCUCACAACAAUUACACCAUCUGAGAAUAAAUCUACAUUUAUUCCAUGGUUACAACCUCAUUUCUCAUGACUUCUGUCACACAUUUCACACCAUACACACACAGCUGCUAGUCCUCACCUAAGAGACUUUCACACUCAAGUCACUGCCUAGUAUGUACCUCCUCAUUAAUCACCCCACCCUCCCUUGGUUCAUUCCUACUAUAUGUUUAAUGUUCAUUCAGGGGUAAUCUCCUGGAAGCCCAUAGACUUUUUUUUUUUUUUUUUUUUUUUUUCCGAGACGGAGUCUCUUUCUGUCACCCAGGAUGGAUGGCAGUGGCGCGAUCUUGGCUCACUGCAAUCUCCGCCUCCCAGGUUCAAGCGAUUCUCCUGCCACAGCCUCCUAACUAGCUGGGACUAUAGGCGCGUGCCACCACGCCUGGCUAAUUUUUUGUAUUUUUAGUAGAGAUGGGGUUUCACCGUGUUAGGCAGGAUGGUCUCAAUCUCCUGACCUUGUGAUCCACCCACCUCAGCCUCCCAAAGUUCUGGGAUUAUAGGCAUGAGCCACCGUGCCUGGCCACCUGGACUCAUUCUUAAUCCUCUCCAAACACUCUCUACCUCUGUGAGUGAACUCUAAUACUUCUAUAUGUGAAUCUACUUUUUUAUCUCUGAAUUAGUGGAUGGUAAUUGACAUAUGGAACAGAAUGGAGGAAAGAGAACUUGACCUAAGGAUCCAGGGGAACUUAGUGUAUGAUGACUGGGAAAGCCACGGAUUCUGAAAUAAUGGUGUUGGGAUAACAAGUUAACAUACAGAAAAAAUAAUUUUGGAUUCUUACCAAGUAUCUUCCCCCAAAAUUAAUUCCAGAAAGAUUAAAUCUUUAAAUGUUUUUUAAAAUCACAGAAUUAGAAGAAAAUUUAAUGGACAAUUUCUAUAAUCCAAGGGGAGAAAGUUUUUCCAAGUAUAAUUGUCAAAGCCAGAAACUAUAAGGAUUGAUACAUUUGAUUGCACAAAUAAGUAGCUUUUCAAUUGGGAAAAAAAAUGCUAUAAAUCCAAGUAAGAAGACAACCAACAAAUAGAGAAAACUGCAUAUUUAGCACAUUGCCUGACAUCUAAUUUACUUUGGAUAAACUGAUUUAUAUGUAGAGGGCUAAUCUCCCUAAUAUAUAAAGAACUCUUUUGAACCAAUACAAAUAAGACAAACCUCUUAUUAGAAAAAGCAAAAGAAAUGACAUGAACAGGCAUACAAAUUGCCUCUAAAUUUAUGUAAAAUUUUCAAACUCCCAAAGAAGUUCAAAUUUUACAUGUUUUGUAUAACAGAAUAACAAAGAUUUUAAAAAAUACUCUGACUUAUUGAAGAUGUGGGAAAAUGGGCACUGUUAAAUACUGCUGAGAGUAAACUGAUAAAAAUUUGCAGGAAGUAGUUUAAGAGUACACACUAAAAAUUAUGACCCAGAAUUUUCACCAGAAUGUAUCCUAAAUAACAACCUAAACAUCUAUCAAUGAGGUGUUCUUAAAUUAUAGUAGCUCUUUAUAUUACAGUAUCAUGUACCAUCAAAAUCAAUAAAAUGCAUAUUUACAAAAAAGAUACACCUAUGUUAUAAAUUUAUUUUCAAAACUAUAUUUGAAAACAAUUUAUAACACAGUUGUGUUUUUAAAUAGGUGUGUUUACAUGUACAACAAGAAAAAAACUUAGAAGGAUAUUUCUCAAAAUGUAAAUCAUCAUCAUCUCUAAGAGGUGGAACUAUGAAUUCCUUCUUUAUACCUUCUUUCCUAUACAUAGAUUUUUGAAUUAUCUGAUUUUUUUUCAAAGAGCAUGUAUACUUUUAUAAUUAAAAUUAUUAUGAACAAUAUAAUUAUUUCUACUGUUUAAUAAGAAUGGAGAAAGACAAAAACCAAAGUUUGUGUGAAUGGAUAGAGAAGAGUCACAUGUCUAAAAAAGCUGCCAUUUUAACUAAAUUAUACCAACCACAACCAAGGAACACUCAUAAAGUCCAGCUUGUACAAAGUUUGCCAAAUCCAAUUAACAAAAUACCAUAGACUGCCUGGACAGUUAACACUAUAGUUUUCCUUUCCUGAAUCUUUCUCAUACACAAAACAGUCAGCUACUAUUCUAAUUCCAGUGGCCGUGAAACAAGAAUGAACUGUUUCGUAUCCAUUCAACUCUGAUCAUUCUUAUAAUAGAAAAGGUGAAGCUAAUUUCCUUUCUCUGUCUCUGAAAGUUUGCCCAUCUUUUGUCACAAAAAAUGUUGGAUGACCUUUCAGCUCUAAAGAUAAACGCAUGCAUAGGUUACCAGGACAUGUUGCAAGUUUAUAUGCAUGUUCUCAUAUGAGCGAUAAUCAUGUCUAUGAUUAGCCAAUAAUUCUCACAAAACAGAAGGGUAUCAGUAACAUGGGCAGAAAAAUCCAACAAACAAAAAUGUCAACUAAGCUUUAAAUUCAUUUUAUUACCCAAUAUUAUAAAUUUUGUUACCCAAUAUUAGUUCAAGUCCAUCAUUUUAAAAUAGGGUUUAUCAACCAUAGGGAGUAUGGGGAAGCUAGGACUUAGUGACUGGUCUUCCUGAGAACAAAAGAAGUAAAAGUUAUUUAUAGUGACCUUUUAAUGUUUACCUUAGAGCUGCUAAUCAGAUGUAAAUUGUCACCCCAUGGAUAUGCAUAAUCAACUUUAUUCCCUUUGCUAAUUGAGAAAUAGAGCUGUUAAUGUCAAGAAACAUUUGAAAAAUGCACCAAGCCUGCUCAAUGGAGCAAGUUCAUUUUAAAAGUCAGAGUUUCCAUAUGGUAAAAUCAUGGAAAUUAAACUUAGGGGAAAAAAAAAAAAACAGAGAGAGAGACUAAUGUUAUUCAGCUAGUCUGUGCUAGAACAAAAUCAGUCUUAACAACCCCAAGCCUGGAAAUUUUGACCACUUCUUAUGUUCAAAAAUAACUCCCUCAGCUCUUAUGAAAAAUAAUUCCAUCACAUCCCUCCAAAGUUCCUCUCCUGCUGAGUUUAUGCUUUCCCACCUGCAUUGGGUCUGGCUUAGCAGUCACUUUGCCAGGACACUCACACAAUGCAGUUCACACAAGUCAGUCCUUCUCUUUCUUUUACUCUCUGGUAGGUUGUCUUUUGAGUUUCCUUUAAAACUGAUCACUGAGAAGUAAAUGAGUCAUAUGCCAAUUGUGUAAAAAGGGGAUGAUAAUAUACUCCCUUGAGUGAUACUUGAAGAUUGCUGUCACUUUUAUAAUGCCACAUAUGGUAGAAGUAGGCAAAAUUUUAAUUUAUGGUUAAUCUUAGAAGAGAUGUGCUUAAAGCAGUCACUGGCUGCAAGGGACCACUUUGCCCUCUCCUAUUCCAAGACAAGACUCACUUCUACCCUUCCUCAGUGACUUCCUUGUUUUAUAAAACCCAAGUUUUCUCCCGUUUCUUUGAGACAAUCCUCAUUAGUGAACAUUCUCCCGCUUGAAACAGCUUAAUUAAAAUCUUCUCCUUAAUUGUCUGCUGCAUUUUGUCUAAGAAAUUAAAGCCAGCCCUAAGCAUGUGCCCCAAACAUUCUCUUCUCAAAGGCAAGGCCAGCAACCAUUCUGUUUCUAGCGACGAUAGAAAACACAAGUCACAGUGAGAAGAGCACAAGCACUAACCGCACAGAUCGAUGGCACACUUCAAGAUCCUGCAAGGCAGACUUAGUCCUGAGUGAGUGGGGCUUAGUCCUGAGCACAUCUAGACUUCAAUCUCCUGCAGUCACCAGGCCCCGCAGAGUGAUAUGUUCACAAAGACACACCUGAUGUGAACUGCAUGCUCUUCUGAGAAGCUUUUUUGAUGCUCCAUGAAGACAGAAUUCCAGUGGAUCCACAACGGGUGGGAGGAAGUCUAACAAGACUCAAAGCCAAGUACAAGGUACAGAGAGGCACCUCUGUGCCCAAGGCUGGAGCUCACCUUGGAGAAGGGAGCCAUGGAAAUGCUGGGCUUGGUGACAACAGCAAGGACAACAUCAGCAUCAAGUAGCAAAGAUGCACCUGUUUCCCAGCAGGGAACCAGCUUUGCUCCUCAUGGGCAAUUAGCAAGGUUUGACUUAAUUUAAAGCCUACACAACCACUGAUCUCUGAGAAUAUGACUGAUGUUAUUUUCUGUACUGAGAGUAACAGUAAAACAAUAAUAAUGACAAUAACAA